rnacentral:misc_RNA from 1 species
GAAAUGCGAUAAGUAAUGUGAAUUGCAGAAUUCAGUGAAUCAUCGAAUCUUUGAACGCACCUUGCGCUCCUUGGUAUUCCUUGGAGCAUGCCUGUUUGAGUAUCAUGAAAUCUUCAAAGUAAAUCUUUUGUUAACUCAAUUGGUUUCUACUUUGGUAUUGGAGGUCUUUGCAGCUUCACACCUGCUCCUCUUUGGUCAUUAGCUGGAUCUCAGUGUUAUGCUUGGUUCCACUCGGCGUGAUAAGUUAUCUAUCGCUGAGGACACUGUAAAAGGUGGCCAAGGUAAAUGCAGAUGAACCGCUUCUAAUAGUCCAUUGACUUGGACAAUACUUUUAUGAUCUGAUCUCAAAUCAGGUAGGACUACCCGCUGAACUUAAGC